rnacentral:rRNA from 1 species
GACGAACGCUGGCGGCAUGCCUAACACAUGCAAGUCGAACGGAGAAAAGGAAGCUUGCUUCUUUUUCUUAGUGGCGGACGGGUGAGUAACGCGUGAGUAACCUGCCUUUCAGAGGGGGAUAACGUUCUGAAAAGAACGCUAAUACCGCAUGAGACUACGGAGCUGCAUGGCUCAGUGGUCAAAGGAGCAAUCCGCUGAAAGAUGGACUCGCGUCCGAUUAGAUAGUUGGCGGGGUAACGGCCCACCAAGUCGACGAUCGGUAGCCGGACUGAGAGGUUGAACGGCCACAUUGGGACUGAGACACGGCCCAGACUCCUACGGGAGGCAGCAGUGAGGGAUAUUCGGCAAUGGGGGAAACCCUGACCGAGCAAUGCCGCGUGAGGGAUGACGGUUUUUCGGAUUGUAAACCUCUGUUUUUAG